UACGGGGGGAGCAAGCGUUGUUCGGAUUUACUGGGCGUAAAGGGCGCGUAGGCGGCCACCGCAAGUCGAUUGUGAAAUCUCCGGGCUUAACCCGGAAAGGUCAACCGAUACUGCGGGGCUAGAGUGCAGAAGGGGCAACUGGAAUUCUCGGUGUAGCGGUGAAAUGCGUAGAUAUCGAGAGGAACACCUGCGGCGAAGGCGGGUAGCUGGGCCGACACUGACGCUGAGGCGCGAAAGCCAGGGGAGCGAACGGG
rnacentral:rRNA from 1 species